rnacentral:rRNA from 1 species
GAUGAACGCUGGCGGCGUGCCUAAUACAUGCAAGUCGAGCGAACAGACGAGGAGCUUGCUCCUCUGACGUUAGCGGCGGACGGGUGAGUAACACGUGGAUAACCUACCUAUAAGACUGGGAUAACUUCGGGAAACCGGAGCUAAUACCGGAUAAUAUAUUGAACCGCAUGGUUCAAUAGUGAAAGACGGUUUUGCUGUCACUUAUAGAUGGAUCCGCGCCGCAUUAGCUAGUUGGUAUGGUAACGGCUUACCAAAGCAACGAUGCGUAGCCGACCUGAGAGGGUGAUCGGCCACACUGGAACUGAGACACGGUCCAGACUCCUACGGGAGGCAGCAGUAGGGAAUCUUCCGCAAUGGGCGAAAGCCUGACGGAGCAACGCCGCGUGAGUGAUGAAGGUCUUCGGAUCGUAAAACUCUGUUAUUAGGGAAGAACAAAUGUGUAAGUAACUAUGCACGUCUUGACGGUACCUAAUCAGAAAGCCACGGCUAACUACGUG